rnacentral:lncRNA from 1 species
CGAGGAGGGCCAUGCUGAGGGCCGCCGCCGACGAGUCGGUGAACGCGUUGUCCGCGCCGUCCCUCAUCCGGUUCGUGAUCGGGAUCGCCGCCGACACCGCCGACAUCAGCAGGUACGCCAUCACCUGCAUGCAUGCAACACGUACGUACCAUCGACAUCGAUCAGAACAUUUUGUAUUUCAGAGCUCAUUGUAACUAUGCCACUGUCGACAUUAAGCACAUAUAUCAUGCUCAGGUAAUCUCAGGUUAGUGGGGUGAUCUAAAAGUCUAGUCCGAUAAAUAAAUUAUGAGGAAAAAUCUUAAAAUCAACUCUAUAUUUAAGGUUAAAAUUUUUAAAUUUUGAGUUAUAAAUUUAAACAAAAACGAACAGACGAGGAUGUAGAACUUCUCAUGAUGCACAUGCUUUCAAAUCCAUGUCACACUGGCCGGCCAUCAUCAACUCAAAGGCUCUAAGAGCACACUGCACACUUGCAAUUAAUUUUGCUUAAUUGGACGGGGAGAGACUUAGAUGCCAAGUUACGCACGUACAGGUCAUUGUCAACUUAACAUUUUGUCUUAUCCACAACCGCAACUCCGUAAGCAAACAAUACUUAUCAGUGGCCACCAUAUAUACUACUUCGUAUGUGAGAUCAUUAUUAUCAUACUUUGACACAGAAUUUUAGAUCGAUUUGAUGUCAUAUCAUCCAAUCAUAAGGGCUCCUUAUAUAUAUCCAUGAGAUCACAUGGACAUCAUUUGUUAUGGAACAAACUGAAACAGCUUUAACUAAUGUUGCACAAUGCACACUAGUUGUUAUUCAAACAGCUGCUUGCAUUUUUUUUCCAGCGCAUCAAAAUAUGUUACUAGUGCUACUCAUAAAUGUGUACCGGUCAAUGUCCAUUAUACCAUUAUAUUAGUAGGAAGAGAACGACUAAUUCUAGUACUACGAUUUCUAUUCAAGAGGUAUGUAACAAUGUAGUGCUAGGUAUGAAUUGAAUUUUAUUGCUGGAAAUGUCAUGUGGACUCAUUAGGUCUUUUUCAGGGACAACUGAUCAACAAUCAACCGAAUUGAAAUGGAUUAAAAUGCCAGCACAUGCCAGCCUAAUUAGUAGCCUAUAAUAAUUAUCUGCUAAACUGCAUCGAUCCCACGAUGAACAAUGCAAUAAUGUCAAAUAUAU